CGGCCGCGUCGACACCUGCCUUGUAGCGGGGGAUAACUAUUGGAAACGAUAGCUAAUACCGCAUAACAAUGGAUGACACAUGUCAUUUAUUUGAAAGGGGCAAUUGCUCCACUACAAGAUGGACCUGCGUUGUAUUAGCUAGUAGGUGAGGUAAUGGCUCACCUAGGCGACGAUACAUAGCCGACCUGAGAGGGUGAUCGGCCACACUGGGACUGAGACACGGCCCAGACUCCUACGGGAGGCAGCAGUAGGGAAUCUUCCACAAUGGACGCAAGUCUGAUGGAGCAACGCCGCGUGAGUGAAGAAGGUUUUCGGAUCGUAAAGCUCUGUUGUAAGUCAAGAACGGGUGUGAGAGUGGAAAGUUCACACUGGUGACGGUAGCUUACCGAGAAAGGGACGGCUAACUACGUGCCAGCAGCCGCGGUAAUACGUAGGUCCCGAGCGUUGUCCGGAUUUAGUGGGCGUAAAGCGAGCGCGAGGCGGUUUGAUAAGUCUGAAGUUAAGGCUGUGCUCAACCAUAGUUCGCUUUACGG
rnacentral:rRNA from 1 species